rnacentral:rRNA from 1 species
AUUGAACGCUGGCGGCAGGCCUAACACAUGCAAGUCGAACGAGUGGCGGACGGGUGAGUAAUGUCUGGGAAACUGCCCGAUGGAGGGGGAUAACUACUGGAAACGGUAGCUCAUACCGCAUACCCUCUGAUGUGCCCCGAUGGGAUUAGCUCGUAGGGGGGGUAACGGCUCACCUGGGCGCCGAUCCCUAGCUGGUCUGAGAGUAUGACCCGCCACACUGGAAAUGAGACACGGUCCAGACUCCUACGGGAGGCAGCAGUGGGGAAUAUUGCACAAUGGGCGCAAGCCUGAUGCAGCCAUGCCGCGUGUAUGAAGAAGGCCUGCGGGUUGUAAAGUACUUUCAGCGAGGAGGCGUUACUCGCAGAAGAAGCACCGGCUAACUCCGUGCCAGCAGCCGCGGUAAUAC